rnacentral:lncRNA from 1 species
AACUGUCAUCCAAUAAGGUCUGUGACUGCUCCUCAGCAGAUUUCCAAAAACACAUCAGCCAACUGGUGCAUGCUCCUCAUGGGUCUCCUGCUGAAUGCUGGAUCACAUUCAACCCUUUAUGCCUUGUGUUUAACACCAAGUACAGUAUUAUCUCAAUGAAAUAUCAGGAUCAAGGCUCAUGUGAACAAGCUAAUCUUUCUUAGAACUGAUGGGAAUCAAUUCACAGGAAACACUGGGAAGACUUAACUACAUCAUCCCCAAAAAAUACUUUCAGAAGGAAAGCUGAGCAAGAAAUUACGAAAAAAAUUAUCAUGUAUAGCCACAAUCAGGUUUCAGAUCUCUAGGUUAUCUAGGUAUUCAGAGGCAUACCCUAUGGAUUAAUGGCAUAAUGGCAGCACAAGAAGCAUCCAAAACACAUCAGGAAGCUGUCAGGGCCUGACCCUGCAUGCCCCAGGGCCUGCCUGGCCCCCCUGGCUGCUGUGGGGCAGAGGGAUGAGGCAGGGUGGGUGGCAGCAGAAGGCAGAAGCAGUGGGAACUUCACUUCUUUCCUGGGCAAAUGUAUUCUCGCUCACACAAACAGAUCACAGGACAAAAAACAGUGAACCUGCCCAUCCGACACUCCAGAAAAUUAGGAGCAAUUUGCAAAUGCUGUAUAAUGUGCAGUUGUGGCCAUACCCACAGGUCAGCAACAAAUGCUUUUUGGAACCAGUGCCUCCUGCUAACCAGGACCCUAAGGUAAAUUAUAAAAUCCUAGACUAAAUAAUGCAAAGCUUUGAUAAAAUGCAAAAUAAGUGUUGCUAUUUGGCCACAAUUGUUAUAUUCAUUUUAAGUCAAGUCACUUUUACAGUUAUCCAAGAGUUUGAAGUUACACAGAAUUUUACACAGUUACACAGAAUAUGCUAGACAAUAUACUGGAAAUGCUGUCAUACAGAUCUAAGAUGACCACAUUUUUCAGCCCGUUGAAACACUAAUAAUCCUUCAAAUGUCUUUUGGAUCUUAAUUCAAAAGAAUAAAAAUGAAUAGCUACAAAUGAACUGAAGAGAC